CAGAGUGCAGCGAGGACACUGACACCCGAGGAGUGAUGCCAGUAUCUCGGGAACUAGAAACAGGAAGUGUUCACUUACCUGCUGGGAGUCCUGAGAUGAGAUCAGUGCCUGCACCUAGAGAGGAGAGGAGGGAGUGUGUUAGUCCAGAAGUGCCUUGUCCUGCCAUGCGUAGAACACAAAGGAAAACUGCAGGAGUGCAUAGGAACCUGAACCGUUUGCCCAAGUCAGCGUGUAAUGCAAUGGCUGUUAAUCUUGAGAGGCUCGCCCAGAUGCCAGCGGGAUGGUCCGUCACGCCACAGGAGAGUUGCCAAGAGGGCGAGAGGAUUAAGAUGUUCAGGGUUGGUAGUCACCGGGGACGUCGACUAUCAGCAGGGGAGAGUGUAACCGGGUCAAAAGUCACUAAAGUUAAUUACUGAACUGUUUAACAGAGUCCUGUUUAAGUGAACUGCAUAUGUGAAGUGUUUUAGUGCUUUUCUCAGUUAUGGACGUGAUGUUACGCUGGCCCUUUAAGGAACGUCACUUCUGAAAGUGUCGCGAGAACUGAGUGUGAGCAGCGCGCUUUCCCAACGUGGUCGUGGAAGCUCUUCAUGCGGACGCUGUGCUGAGUUAAAGGUGACAAAAAGUCAGUGAUAUAGUGAUAUAGUGAGAAAUAAGGACUUUUAAGAGUGUGUAAAGUGUUCUUACGUGCUUUGCGAGACCGGAUGGUCGUGUAUUGCGUCAAUUGAUGGUGAUUUCUGUCGAGAAUCAUCUCGGUGUGGGGAAAUUCCAACAACACAAUUCAUGAGAAGCAGGGGAGAAGGGUGAUCUGUGUAGGCCCUCCGUGUGUUACUGGGCCGAGAGUGAGACAUCAGAGGGAAAUUCAAGUGCGUCUUCCACUGUGAAGCUGUUUAUGGGUCAUUAAGUGGUGACAAAGAAGAGAAAGGCUGCUACUGUUGUCUAUGUUAGUCAGACUGAGUUUGUGAAGGGUUCAUUUGAUGUUGUGACGGAAAACAAGAGACAGUGAGACUCAUUUUGAUGUGAAAAGCCAACUUUAUUGUUUUAGUUCAAUUUACACAAUCCUGUCUAAUUUAAGUUCCUGAAAUCCUGCUUAAUUAAUGCUGCGCCGUUCAAAACGCAGUCUGGAAUAAAAACCCCUUCAUAAUUCUA